rnacentral:tRNA from 1 species
GAUCUAAAAUGACAAACUUCAUUUCAUUGACACCACAAAUCAAUAUUUUAAAUAAACUAUUUAGAU